rnacentral:lncRNA from 1 species
UUGAUACCACUCUGAUGGGAAAUUCAACACAAUAAAACUCAAUUCAACCAGAGUUAAUAAGAAGCGGAUAAUAAUUUCCCCAACUCGCAAGAAUCUGUGAGGAGCAAUAACAAAUAAUCGCAGCAACAAAAAUACACUUAAGGAAGAUACAUGAAUUUUAACGUGGAAAACCUUCUCAAUGUGAGAAGUAAAAAUCACGGGCACAAGUCAGUCAAUCAAACUCCACUAUGAUCAAAUUAGGUUACACAGAGAGUCUCAAAUUACAGCACAACU